UUGCUUCGGCGGCACAUACACUGGAAUCGGAACGAUGCAGAGACGAUUGGCCCCUGCGCAAGGAGGACACGCACAUUCGUGACGUGUUCCAUAUUUUA
rnacentral:snRNA from 1 species